AAGUCGUAACAAGGUUUCCGUAGGUGAACCUGCGGAAGGAUCAUUAGUGAAUAAAUAGGGUGUCCAAUUUAACUUGGAACCCGACCUUCUCACAUCUAACCCUGUGCAUCUGUAUUUAAUGGCGAGCAAUUUUCGGAUUGUGAGCCAUUUCACUUUAUAAACACUAGUCUAUGAAUGUAAAAUUUUUAUAACAAAUAAAAACUUUCAACAACGGAUCUCUUGGCUCUCGCAUCGAUGAAGAACGCAGCGAAAUGCGAUGCGUAAUGUGAAUUGCAGAAUUCAGUGAAUCAUCGAAUCUUUGAACGCAUCUUGCGCUCUCUGGUAUUCCGGAGAGCAUGUCUGUUUGAGUGUCAUGAAUUCUUCAACCCAACUGUUUCUUGUAAACAGCUGGUGUUUGGAUUCUGAGCGCUGCUGGCUUCGUGCCUAGCUCGUUCGUGAUACAUCAGCAUCCCUAAUACAAGUUUGGAUUGACUUGGCGUAAUAGACUAUUCGCUAAGGAUUCAAUGUUCGCAUUGAGCCAACUUAAUUAAGGAAGCUUCUAAUUGAAAAGUCUACCUUUAGAUUAGAUCUCAAAUCAGGCAGGAUUACC
rnacentral:rRNA from 1 species